rnacentral:hammerhead_ribozyme from 1 species
CCACUGCUGAGGAGUCCCACAAUAGGACGAAAGGGCCGUACAGUAC